GACGAACGCUGGCGGCGUGCUUAACACAUGCAAGUCGAACGGAAAGGCCCCUUUGGGGGUACUCGAGUGGCGAACGGGUGAGUAACACGUGAGUAACCUGCCCUUGCCUUCGGGAUAACUUCAGGAAACUGGGGCUAAUACCGGAUAGGAAUCCUUGCUGCAUGGUGGGGGUUGGAAAGCUUCGGCGGUUUUGGAUGGACUCGCGGCUUAUCAGCUUGUUGGUGGGGUAGUGGCUUACCAAGGCUUUGACGGGUAGCCGGCCUGAGAGGGCGACCGGCCACAUUGGGACUGAGAUACGGCCCAGACUCCGACGGGAGGCAGCAGUGGGGAAUAUUGCACAAGGGGCGGAAGCCUGAUGCAGCAACGCCGCGGGCGGGAUGACGGCCUUCGGGUUGUAAACCGCUUUCAGCAGGGGCGAAGCUUGUGGUGACGGUACCUGCAGAAGAAGCACCGGCUAACUACGUG
rnacentral:rRNA from 1 species